AGAGGGGAUUGAGAUGGAUCAAGCAUAGAAAUCUGAAGAGAAUGUUUCUCAUUCAUAUCUACAUUUACAAUGAAGGGUGUGAACCCUUUUAUAGGCAAAGCCUCUCCCAAUUGGAGGUGGGCUCCACCUUAUAUAUUUACAACACUCCCCCUUGGAGACCACAAAUGAUAUGGAAUAUGCCUCGUUAAAAACCUUGCCAGUAAAAACUCAGUGGGACAAAAACUGGUCAAAGGAAAAAAGAGUGCAUAAUCAUGUGUAACAUAAAAUUCUGUGUAUAUUGACGCGCGUGUGACACUGCCUCGUUAAAACCUUGCUAGGAAAAACUCAGUGGGAUAAAAACCUGGACGAAGGAAAAAGAGUACAGUGUUUGAAGAUCUUUAUUGAUAGCACGCUCCCCCUGAUGCUUGGAAAAAUAUCUUUAAGUCAUACUGUUGAUCAGCUUUCUAAAUAUCGUAGUUGACACUGCUUCUGUGAGUCAAUCUUGAGCGACACUGCCUCGUUAAAACCUUACCAGAAAAAACCCAGUGGGAUAAAAACCUGGAUGAAGGAAAAAGAGUACAGUGUAUGGAGGUCUUUAUGAAAACCACGCUCCCCCUGAUGAAUAUCUCCUCCUGAAAAAUUUAUGACUAGCCAUCCCAAAGUGGUGGUGAUGGAGCUGAGCUCUAUCUGGUCUAGUAUACUUCCGGAAAAACAUUUAAAGACCAACGGAUAAGACUCUCUUAGUAUAAGCAAGAAUCUCGUUGGCGUAAUGCUCGAUCGAGACAAAUAUUUCGUGAAUUCUGCAGAAGCUUUAAUGUGUUGCAAUCACAUUAUAAUCAAUGUACUCACUGAGGUAAUUUAUGCAUAUUAAUAUUGAGUACAAAUUUUGUGCUUCAAGCACAUGUCCUUUAGGGACUUGCUUUAUGCAAUGUCAAUCCUCUCAACGGAUUUUGUCUAAAAGGGAUUAAACUUUAUGACACAUUAUAUAGCUUUAACCCAGCUAUUUAUACAUCUUUAGGGAAUCGCUUCUGGCGAUAUGCUCCGUGCAUUUAAUAACCCUUAAAGAUAAUAUGUUGGUCUCCGUAAUUGUGCAAAAUAGAGGGGGGGGGGGGAGGGGGGGGGGGCAACAAUUGAAUCUGUAAAUAUGGAGAAAACCCAACAUUCCUUGUUUCUGCUAGAAACAGUGUGUCAUACAAAGUAGGUAUAUUCUCUUGUAUUCCGAACACCCAAGUAUAAAUUUCAGUAUUAACAUAUCUUGGGGUUCGUACUGUGGGUUUGUUCUUUCACGUUCAUUCUCAUCUAUAAUGGAAUUACCUCGUUCCAUUUUGGCCAAUGAUAUUGUCGACAUUUAAUAAUUGAACGUGGUUCCAAUCAACACAGCCCAUUGAUGAUUUGAGUAGCUACUCCAAAACCAAAAAUUGUCAUUCAUCAAUUCAUGAUCCCACCAUUCUCAUUUGCAUGCGCAUGCAUCAAUUAUAAGCAUUUCUUUGCUUUUGGGUACCCAAGCCACUUCAUGGGGCUUUUAUUAUGUGAGAAUGUGGAUUAUAACCUCCAAUGGAGCGUUAUUUUACAGUAGGGCGUGGAUAAUCUCUAUUUAGAGAGUUGAAACAUUUAGAACCCAUAUAUCUGUCAUGCUGCAGGCAUGCCACAGAUUAAUACAUACAUGUCAAUUAAUUUCUGGGACUUUAACCCAUAUUAUGGGACUUUAACCCAUAUAAUUUGCUACGCAUUAGGCGUGCAUAAUAUCAAUAUUGACAUGUCAAAGGAUUGUCCUUUCGGGACUUCAAUCCAUAUCAUUUGCUACGCAACAGGCGUGCAUCAUAUUGAUCACUGCUAUACCCAUAUUCUGUUCUUAUGGUACAUUAAUCUGUGCAGUGUAUUAUCAAUGUAUCCAACUUGCAAUAUCCUUAGGUAGAGAAACUUUUCUCAAGUAUCAUUCAAGCUUGUAUCGGCCCAGUAAAUGUAGCGCUUGAUGAUCUAGUUAUAUCCUGGAAUAGUAAAAUCACAACUCUUUUCUCUGUCAAAAACAAAUAAUCCUCAGAGAGUUACAGAAAGAGAAAAAAUGCAAAAAGAGAAGGUAAGCAAUCAGGGAAGGAAGCUGGUGGGAGCAGACAAUAAGCUCUCAUAUCUCCUAGUCUAGAAGGACUUCCGGAGAUUAAAGCAUAAGAUCGCCUUCACAGUUUCCUGAUGUAGCGGAAACGUGAUCAGGGAUAGUCUCGCUUCCUGAAUGGAUGAUCCGAGAUAGUCUUGCUUCUCGGGCAUAUUAAGUGCUCAUUGAUAAGAAAAACAAGUAGAUAUCGCAUCACUAGGUAUGGAGAAAACUGGAUGUCUUCUGCAAAGAAAAUUUCGUUAGUAACACAUUUAUACACAAAUACAAUGAAUAGGUAGAACCGGUGAAUUUCAAAUUAACCAUAGGAAAAUUGCGAGAUUCUCGGGGUACUUUUGAAAAAGUAGCUCCAUGAAAUCCGUAAAGCAAGAUCGGCUUUUGAUGAAAAUAAUACUUUGGAAACGCCGAAAGUGCCGACAAACAUUUAAUGGAGGCCACGUGAAGUUUUGGAAUCUGGGAAAGAAAAAGAUAAUAUGGGGAUCUGAGAUAAUAUUGGGAUCCUGGAAACUGUAGCCAUAUUUCCUCCUAUAGAUAUGGCCUUUGCAAAACUUGAUUGGAGCAACUGCGUUUCAACUUGCUCCUUUCCUGUUAUAAUAAUUGCGCACAUUCUUAAAAUUUGCACCUGUGGUUUUUACGUCUUUUCAAAAUGACGGUUUGGAACCUUGUGCCUUAUAGGUUCAAAUAACCACAUUGACUCUCCCAAAUUUCAUAUUUCAACGUAUGGGAACCCGGAACUUUUGGCCUGGGCUAAACACAAAACUCAGAAUGUAUUUGCCCUUUUCAAAAUGGACAUGAAAUAUGAAUUGAGUAAAAGCCACGCUAAUAUCUCAUAUAUUUGAAUCCAUGUGCUUCCGGCCCAGAUAUAACAAAAUAUGUGGGAAGCCUCAAUUCAUCGUUUUCUUAUGCCAAAGAAAUAUGUGGUGUACCACAAUUUUGCAAUAAUACCUCAAGGAUUGUCCAUUUAACUGUUGGAACUUUAGGUUCUCAACACUGUUAGAUUUUGAACUUCAGGCCAAAAUCACAUAUUCUCAUGGUAUGGACAUUCAAUCCCCUUAGAUUUUGAACUUCGGGCCAAAAUCACAUAUUCUCAUGGUAUGGACAUUUUUACAAUUUUCUGUACAUAUUUCUGGACUUCAAGUCCUUACAUAAUUGUCCAUAUUUUGAGGAACUUCUGGCAUCUCAUUUAAUUGCUCAUCCAUGAGUUUAAGGAACUGCAAGUUCCCUUUUGAAUGGUGAUAGUUUACCCAAAAUGGUAAAUAUUUAUGCAUACAUCACUAUUCAUGUAUACGGCACUAUUCAUGUGUACAGUACAUUUGCCAGUACAGUUAUCAUCCAUGUGUACGGCAUUAUGAACCAAUACGGUACUGUUACAUCAUUAAGGAACCCCAGGUCCUUAUUUACAUGUCAGGGAUCAAGGACCCUCAAGUCCGAUCACAUGUUUACAAAUAUAUUACCGGAGAGACUGCCAGCUCUCAUAUUAACAUCAUCAUCAAGGAUCUUCAAGUCCUGAUGUAAUUGUAUGAUGAGGAUCAAGGAACUUCUGGUCCUGAUCUGUAUACUGUAAAAAACUCAUCAUACAGCACAUUUAGUCCAUAAAAUAAAUUGCUGGUAAAUAAAUUACCGGUAUGGACGAUAAACCCGCACCACACUUUAAAUAAAUGUAAAUGUGCGGUAAAUUAAAUUCAUAAAGUUAAGGUGCUUGUGUGGGCAUUAAUUCUGCUCCAUACAUUUAAAUAAAAGUAAAGGCGUGGACGAUAAACCCACACCACCCUUUUAAAUAAAUGUAAAUGUGCGGUAAAUUAAAUUCAUAAAUUAAAUUGCUUGCUGUAUGGACGUUAAUCCCGCACCAUACUUUAAAUAAAAUUAAAUGUGCGGUAAAUUAAAUGUGCUUGUAUGGGCACUAAUUCUGCUCCAUACUUUUAAAUGAAAGUAAAGACGUGGAUGAUAAACCCGCACCACCCUUUUAAAUAAAUACUGUCGUAUGGGUAAUAAUCCUACACCAUACAGUAAAUAAAUGUGGGGUUAAAAACCACCACCGAAUAAAAUAAGAAAAAUGUUAGUAUUAGUAACGGUCUCCCACUGAUAAUAUGUUUAGUAUUACCAAGGGUCCAUUUUUGUUAAUGAUUAGUAAAAGAAAAGCAGAUAAAUAUAAUAGGAAAUAAUAGGGGAGAUCAGGGAGCAGAGAUCUCAUCGCUACUUUAGGGUCAGUGCCCUUGCUGAGUGAUCCUUUUUCUUUUUUUUUAAUUUUUUUUUAAUUUUUAGCAUAUUUAUUUAUCUAUUUAUUAUUAUUUUUUUUUCGGUGGGUUUGCUUUUCUUUAUCGGUGUGUGGACUGUGCACAUGGUUAGCACAAUAAUUACUUACACUUCCUGCUUAGUACCAUAGCUUUCAUCACUGCUGUCUCCUUAUGCACGCCUUCAAAAGCAACUCAAUGAUCUCCAGCUGUGUAUCAGGAUCUUUCAACUUAACCAAAGUAAAGCAACCUGUUGGUGCCAGCAUCUCUCCUUCAAUUCCAUCAACAUUAGAUUAGUGUGCCUUGGAAUUGUAGGCCUCAGACCCCCUAUUUUCAAACAACUCGGGGAUCCUGGAUAUCGGUCAAGCUCUGCUCACAGCUUCCACAAAGGCUUCAUGAAGUUCUUGUGUCCAACGCUAACUGGGUUUGGUUGGAGGUGCAGUGGACAAUGGUUCGGGGCUGGAAAGGAAAUCGUGCUUGCCGAUGAGGACUAGUGCUUCACUGAGUUGGCCCUGGAUUUUGGGCGCAGCAGAGAGCAUGAGGGAGACGAUAAGGGCUUUGAUCUGCUCCUUCUCGGCUUCGGUGAUAGAGUGUUCGUCGUCGGAAGAGGGAUCGGGGGUCCAUCGAGCCUUGAGGUGGUUUUUGAAGUUGACGGAGGCGGCCUGCCGGAUCUGAUCAUCGACGGUGGGUUCGGCGACGAGGCGAAGGACGACGAGGCCAUAGUUGGCUUGUUGAGAGACCUCGGAGAGCGAAGCCUCGGCUCGGCGGCGAGGCUCCGGGGCUGGAGAGAUGGUCCUUUAUCAGCUUUGGUGUCCUUAGUUUUUUUUUAUUUUAUUUUAUCAUAUAUCAUAUUUUCUAUCUCCAGGAACUAUGAAUUGAUCAUGCCCUUUGGUCUCUUUAUUGGGUGCUUCUUGACUGAUGUUAAGUUUGUCUCUGCCGGCCUACCAAUGCAAGCCCGAGUUUUUCUUGGUGUGUAAGCUCGAAGGAAAAGUUAUGUGUUUGUGUGAGACAAAGACUGAGAGAGAUUCCAAUCUAUCUCCCCAAGUGGUGUGGAACUGAGGGCCCAGAUUAAAGGUCGGUUGUUAAGGUUUGAGGUUUGGCAGAGAAGCUCUAUGUGGGGUUUGACAGAGAGAGAGAGCGUUGAGGCUCUGAAUUUGGAGAUAGAGAAAUCGUGCUGAUAACGUGUUAUAAAUCAAAAGGAAAUUGUAGAGGGGAUUGAGAUGGAUCAAGCAUAGAAAUCUGAAGAGAAUGUUUCUCAUUCAUAUCUACAUUUACAAUGAAGGGUGUGAACCCUUUUAUAGGCAAAGCCUCUCCCAAUUGGAGGUGGGCUCCACCUUAUAUAUUUACAACAUAACGGGACUUCACUUUCCUUUUUCUCAAUACAGAGUACCUUUUUCUUUUUUUUAAAACAAAGUAUCAAUAUAUCUAACGAUUAAUACAACUGCAAUAAAGUUAUACCAUCAUAACUAAAUAUCGAAAAUGAAACCUGC
rnacentral:lncRNA from 1 species